AAACCAUGGUGUGGGCAUUGUCUCAAGAGAUCCUUAAACCUCUCAUGAGCUUCAAACAAAGUUUCUGAGUCACCUUGUCGGAAAGAAGAUAUUUCUUGUCUCAAUCG